AUGAAGACCUAAAAUAUUUCAUUUUCCUCUCCAUUCGAUACUUUUCAUUUUCUACAAACUUCUGUUGAGUGUCGCCAAUGAGGGUUUGGAGGUUCGCUUUGCACCAUUUUUGGUGAUUCUGUGUAGUCUCCAUACAGAUUCGUUGAGUAAAAGGCGUGGUUUCCUUAGAAAUUUCUGGAAAAUUUGAAAGGCUUUAUGAGAAAAGAUAAAGAUUUUCGACUCCACUUUUGGCCACCAUAGUUGGAUUUCUGAAGAAAUUCGACUAGAAUAGGGCUGCCAUUGUUUAUGCCACCACAGGUAUCUAGGGACAAUAGAGAAACACAUAGAAGAAAUUGAUCGGAUACAACAAGCGAGCUUCAAGAUUCAUCAUUCCAAGCAAUGACAGAUCCCUAUCCACUUCUUAUGAUUUUUACUUUAUUGUUCAUCAAAUGUAUAUUCUAUUUUCAUAUAGCAUAGAAUAAGUUAAUCCCACGACUUGGGUGGGAAGC